AUAGAGCGGCGCCCAGGCUCUACGAACUCUUGGCUUCACUAGGGGCCUCCUGCACACCCCGCAGGCGACAGCGUUAGACCACCCCCGAUUCAAAUUCUAGGAGUCCCGGCCCAAACUGGCCCCGGCACCUUACCAGGGUGGAGGGUGGGGGUUCCAUGCCCCUCAGUCAGUUCAGUACCAACCUCACCCCGGGCGGGGUCUGGAUACCGUGCUGACCCCUCUCCCACAGACGUCCCUUCUGAGCCCCUGACUGAUCCAGAAGCUUCGCCCAAUACCGGCUUCGCCUAAACGCAGCCCCCUCAUUGCUCCUUUGGCGGGGCAGGCGCCACCAGGAGACCGCCUCGUUAGGCAGCUUCAGAGGCGCGGGGUUCCCAUCCGUGGAGUUUUUGCCUGAGGACCCAUUAUUAAACGCUGUAGUCGCGGUCACCUGGUUUCACCUUGACGCUGUGGGGCGACUGGUCAGGCUCGGAUUAUUAUUAUUAUUAUUAUUAUAAUUUUGAUACAGAGUCUCUGUCUAUCGCCCAGGCUGGAGUGCAGUGGCGCGAUCUCGGCUCACUGCAACCUUACCGGAUUCAAGCGAUUCUCCUGCCUCAGCCUCCCGAGAGGAUUACAGGCGUGAGCCACCGCGCCUGGCCCCAUGUAAUCUUUGUGAUCACUUUUACACCCAAGUUUCCGCGCCAGUAAUACAAGGGAAAUAAAUGAUAUAAAGAAGUCUUGCGUUGGGAAUAGUUAAGCAAUUGUGCAAGACGCAUUUUCACUUCUUCCUCGGGUAAAAAAGGCAAGGCCUCCCAGAAACUUUUAAGUAUCUGAUAGAGCAACCAGUGAAAACGUGUUCAUCAUUCAAUCAUUCUUUCCCACUAGAAUUCACAGAGAACGAGCUUCUUCCGGUGGACACGGCUAUAGGCAGUAUUGAUUAAGCCUCACCAGGGAGUUUUACAACAUUCAUUACUGUUCAUAGUGCUUUGCUAUUCCAGUCUCUUAUGUGAGCGUAAAUGGCAUAAGGGGACUAUUGCUCUUAAAGGUAUCUUUAAAGAUACCUUUUCCAAAUGUCAUUUUGUCCACAGCAUUUUUUGCAGCC
rnacentral:lncRNA from 10 species